GACAGAGGUGGCGAGCGUUGUCCGGAGUCACUGGGCGUAAAGCGCGCGCAGGCGGCAACCUAAGUGUCGUGUGAAAGCCCCCGGCUCAACCGGGGGAGGCCAUGGCAAACUGGGUCGCUCGAGCUGCGGAGAGGCCCCUCGAAUUGCCGGUGUAGCGGUGAAAUGCGUAGAGAUCGGCAGGAAGACAAAGGGGGAAGCCAUGGGGCUGGCCGCAGGCUGACGCUGAGGCGCGACAGCGUGGGGAGCAAACCGG
rnacentral:rRNA from 1 species